rnacentral:rRNA from 1 species
AAUUGGGCCCGACGUCGCAUGCUCCCGGCCGCCAUGGCGGCCGCGGGAAUUCGAUUAGAGUUUGAUCAUGGCUCAGAACGAACGCUGGCGGCAUGCCUAACACAUGCAAGUCGAACGAAGGCUUCGGCCUUAGUGGCGCACGGGUGCGUAACGCGUGGGAAUCUGCCCCUUGGUUCGGAAUAACAGUUAGAAAUGACUGCUAAUACCGGAUGACGACGUAAGUCCAAAGAUUUAUCGCCGAGGGAUGAGCCCGCGUAGGAUUAGCUAGUUGGUGUGGUAAAGGCGCACCAAGGCGACGAUCCUUAGCUGGUCUGAGAGGAUGAUCAGCCACACUGGGACUGAGACACGGCCCAGACUCCUACGGGAGGCAGCAGUGGGGAAUAUUGGACAAUGGGCGAAAGCCUGAUCCAGCAAUGCCGCGUGAGUGAUGAAGGCCUUAGGGUUGUAAAGCUCUUUUACCCGGGAUGAUAAUGACAGUACCGGGAGAAUAAGCUCCGGCUAACUCCGUGCCAGCAGCCGCGGUAAUACGAAUCACUAGUGAAUUCGCGGCCGCCUGCAGGUCGACCAUAUGGGAGAGCUCCCAACG